GAGUUUGAUCCUGGCUCAGAACGAACGUUAGCGGCGCGCCUAACACAUGCAAGUCGCACGAGAAAGGGCUUCGGCCCCGGUACAGUGGCGCACGGGUGAGUAACACGUGGGUAAUCUGCCUUCGAGUGGGGGAUAACAUUCCGAAAGGAGUGCUAAUACCGCAUAAGACCACGCCCUCGAAAGAGGAAGCGGUCAAAGCUGGCCUCUAUACAUAAGCUAGCGCUUGAGAAUGAGCCCGCGGAGCAUCAGCUAGUUGGUGAGGUAAUGGCUCACCAAGGCUUAGACGCUUAGCUGGUCUGAGAGGAUGAUCAGCCACACUGGAACUGAGACACGGUCCAGACUCCUACGGGAGGCAGCAGUGGGGAAUCUUGCGCAAUGGGCGAAAGCCUGACGCAGCGACGCCGCGUGAGUGAUGAAGGCCUUCGGGUUGUAAAGCUCUGUGGGGAGAGAAGAAUAAGUGCGGGCUAAUACUCCGCAUGAUGACGGUAUCUCCUUAGCAAGCACCGGCUAACUCUGUGCCAGCAGCCGCGGUAAGACAGAGGGUGCAAACGUUGUUCGGAAUUACUGGGCGUAAAGCGAGUGUAGGCGGUUUGGUAAGUCGGAUGUGAAAGCCCCGGGCUCAACCCGGGAAGUGCACUCGAUACUGCCAAGCUAGAGUAUCGGAGAG
rnacentral:rRNA from 1 species